UGACCACCAAGCCAGUUCAACCCAAGACCCAUGUGGUGAAGGACCUGUGCACAGCUAAUGUACGCACGCAUACACUAAGUGUGUCUAGAAAAUACAGUGGGCGCCAUGGCAGCUCGCCUAUAAUUCCACCACUCAGGAGGCCUAUGCAUGCAGGAGGAUUGCUAUGAGUUCCAGCCAGAUGGGCUACAUGACAAAUUAAAAUAGGGCCUUCAGCAUUACAUAAGGGCCUGGGACACUCAGACUUGUAUGCCUGCCCCAAACACAUGUCCCAGGGGAGGGCAGGUCUUUGCAUGCCUACACAAGGCGUGGUUGUUAUCUGAAGGUACAAGUAUUAAGUUUAGGGCCUCAGGCCCUGCAUUGGGGGUGGGGGCUGAGGUAAGCACUUGCCCCAAAGCUUCAGGGGUCUGAAUGACACAGCUGCUUCGGUAGAGAAUGGUUUCCUGGUAACCUACAUUCGAGAUCUUCCAGACUGCCCAACCUGCAGUUCCUGGCUGGUGGUAGGCUGUCAGGAGAAGGUCACAGCAGCGCCCUUCCCUCAGUCCCCUUCUCUGUCUACUGCUACAGGACGUCUGAAUCAACACCACUUCAUCUAGGGCUGUCAGCAAAUACAGGUACAGGGCAGCCCCAACUCCAGUGGGGUUUCUGAAGAGACACUACACCAUGGGUGUCGUACAUCUAGGACAACACCGUCAUGUUCCAAGGACCACGAGACUAACAUGCCAGGCCACCCAUGAUCUGGUCUCAGGAAUGCAGGCUGCCCUGGCAUCUCCUGCUGACCUUUCCACACAGAGCCUCACUAGCACUGCUUAGGGGUGACCAUUAACUGCGAUCCCAACCUUAGAAGCCUCAACAGGGUCUUUAGCUUCCAGCCUGUCGCCUGCCUCAGUUACCUUCCUUCCUGCCUACUCAAGCCAGGUGAGAGCAGGGCCAGUCUGAGGCACUGGGUAAACAAGUCAGCACCACAGGGUGCAGGGAGGGGAGGGGGCGCUGUUCUGGAGGGCGGGCCCACACCUAGUCUCCUGCCAUCCAGUGCUGACCUAGACUGCUGCCUUAUCACCUCUCUCACCAUGUCAGACACCUGAGGAAUUAGGGUUAAAUCAGAUCUGGGUAACCGCUGGGGCAACACCCUGCAGUGAGUGUCUGAGGCUAACCUGGUCACUUACACAGAGAAAGCAUGUGAAACUGGGGUGUGGAGUGCUUAGACCAGCAUGUAAGGGACCCAGCAUCAAAUUCCAGGCUCACGCAACAAGGAAACCUUAAGUGUCUAUGCCACAGGGUUGACCUCUGAGCAGAACCCCCACCCCCACUGUACAGUGGGAAAUGACACAUUACAGCUUGACCUGGGCCCUGCCCAGGCUGUAGGCUGUGGCUCUGUUCCCAGGAAGGGCUAGGACCUGCCCGUAAGCUACAUUCUGUGCUUGGCUCCCGGCAGUGCAAAGGUCCGCUGAACCCCAGACAGAAAGCCACUGUGUUUUCCUACCCAGGACAGAAUAAAUCAACUGCUUCCAUCUUGCCAGGGGACAGUUACCUGUACCCAAGAGCCAGCCUCAUGGGAGCACCUCAAGAUGCUUUGAUGGUAAGGAAGAGGGUCCAGAAAAGGCGGGUCAGGAUUGACCCCAGGCUCUGCUGCCUGGCACAGCCCCCUCCUGUACCUGCUGCUGAUGGGGCAGUGGUCAGUGGCCCACUUCUCCAGUGGAGCUCUGCUUCUGCCCUUGGCCUGCUGUCUGGGGCAAGCAGAGAGCAGCCCAUGUGUUCCAGGCCUACCACACCGCCUUUCCACACUCAACCUUGCCAUGACCUUGAAUACCUACCUUUCCCCACCUAGGCCCCGUGCCCUUUUGAGCCUCAAUCAGGCAAGGACCUAAGGCCAGAAUGGGCCAAACUCCAUGCUGGGAGCAAGCUGAAUGUGCUGGGCCCUGGCCAGUGGAAAUCCCAUCAAGAACGAUAAUCCACAGUCCUCACUCCCAGGCCCCAACACCAGGAGGAAUUCAAUCUCCAGGGUUGCUUCCCAGCCCUGUUACCCAGGUGGAGACAUCAAUAUGGUCAAGAUAAUAGCUCUUCGACCCUGGACGCCCCUACUCAACCUUGGAGAUGUUGCCCCAGAAUCUAUCUUCCAGCUUCAGGGUCACCUCCUCCCACACUUCCCUAACUCCCCCAAACCUAAGCCAAUUAUAGUCAUUGUAUCCCCAAACCUCCCGGGUCACCUCCCAGCCUUAUUCCGGGAGUUGGGACAGUUAAGGCAGCGGCUCCUUUCAUCUCCAGCUAGCCAAAAUCUGGGGUCAUUUCCACUCACACUUCUCUACUCCAAGUCCUCUAGAUUACCUUCCAGCCAUGUCCAGGUGGGGACUACCGCAAGGUGGCGGGCGGUUCCUUCCACCUCCAGUUCCCAUAACCUUAGGAUGUCUCCCCCAGAGAUCUAGUCUUUGAUUUGUCUCUCCAGGGCCUCAUCUCUAAAAUCAUCCCCCUCCACCUCGUCGCUCAGUCGAGGUCUGGGGUCAAUUCGAGGGUCAUCCACAGGCACUGUUACUCCUCCACAAAUCUCCAGCCCCGAGCCCGAGUAGGGAACCAAAGCCGUGGUUCCCUACACCAAGUCCCCGAAAUCUGUGGCUCACCUUAGGUCCGUGACCCCAGCCCGGUCCCAGCACCCCGUUCUUACCCGCCGCGCAGGCGCCUUGGCCACUCAGGAACGUGAAGGCCAGCGCCAGCAGCAGCGCCGCCGCCAUGUCGCCUCGU